GAUUCAGGAGAAACAGGGUUAAGCUUCCUAAACCACUCAACAGUCUAACUGGCUUCAAUGCAUUUUGGUACUCACAUCAUCUCUUUGUCAUUGUCUAUGCCUUGUUGAUUGUUCAUGGAAUCAAACUUUUCUUGACCAAAGAGUGGUACGAGAAAACGGGGUCUGAUUUAGAUAGUUUAUUAGAGUAGAAUAAUGUAACAUCUUCAGCCAAAAUAAUUGCUAGCUCAACACCUCUGAAGCAGAAUCAGAGGCAUGAAGGUAGUGCAAGGAUUAUUAGAAGCAUACUCUCAAACAAGGAAAUGUGCCAAAGUCAGUCAGCCAGGCCUCAAUCAGAGCAGGCAGUACCAACAUCUGAUCUACAAAAAGAAAGACAACCACCUCGUCCUGUACAUGUGCAAUUGAUUUCGAAGUAAUUUAUUUUUAGAGAAAUAAUUUGUAUUAUUAUGAGA